ACAUCAAUGUCGAUGGUCACCAUCUCAGCGCUGUCGGGGCUCCAGAAGUCGACCUGCAGGGGGCGCCAUAGGCCAACACUUGAACGCAAAACCGAGACCCUCCGAAAGCAAAAUGUCAAAAGAGGCAGGUGACAGGUGCCGAUACGGUGACCUACUUACCUCCAACCCUCGCCUAGAUGUCCUGCGCCAACAGAGAUGGACAUUGACGGAUGAGGCAGCAUUGGUUGUCACCCCCCUAACCCCACCCAUCUCCUGCUAAAUCAUUUGGCCACACCCGCCGACGGUGCAAGCCUCACAGAAUGGCUGGUACCAUGUGGUACAAGUAUUGCUGAACUAUAACCAAGGAAAACAGUGCAACACACCGAGAUUCCCGCAACUGAAGAACUGGAUGAAGGGAAGAUGUUAUCCAUACUGUCUCCCAUGCAGUUGCAAUGUUAUCUUCACACGUGAAUGGACUCUACGUGCGUCGACAUAAGCCAAACAUCAAAACCGGUCCCAUGGUCGGAACAUGUGGUUUGAGUGAAGCUAUAGAAAGGCACAUGCUGAUCCCAGUACUUCACACAUUACGGACGUGAAAGGACCAUGGCUAUGCUAUCGGACGUUUGGGUGUACCUGCAGUGCUUGCGCUGUUUCAGAGGUAAGUGGGAAAGUGAAAGUGAUCCCCAUGAGGGGAAAAGCAAUGGAGAACCACUCUGUGAGCCGAUAACCCCAGCCACGCCCCAGGGCCCAAGCGCACUGUAUCUCCACCGAAGGCCCAAGAUAACCCAGUCCUUGCUACAGGUACGCACACACACAUUAACAAAGCAAGAACUAAAAGGAGCGACAUCAGCGCUAAUGGGCUGCUGGUAAA